GCGGCGGCGGCGGUGAAAGGACGUUCGCCUAAUCAGCUCUUUUUGCUUACCCAGACUACCUGAAAACGGUUGCCGUGGCUACGGAAUCACAUCUUGACGUCACUGAGCCUGCGGAAGUGUUUACGUGUUUCCGGCGUCGACAUCGUACCUGGACACACGGGUGGCGGCGGCGGCGGUGAAAGGACGUUCGCCUAAUCAGCUCUUUUUGCUUACCCAGACUACCUGAAAACGGUUGCCGUGGCUACGGAAUCACAUCUUGACGUCACUGAGCCUGCGGAAGUGUUUACGUGUUUCCGGCGUCGACAUCGUACCUGGACACACGGGUGGCGGCGGCGGCGGUGAAAGGACGUUCGCCUAAUCAGCUCUUUUUGCUUACCCAGGUUGGUAAAUUCGCUUAUUUCUCAAUACCGCCUUACCGCUACCGCCGUUGCCACCGUGUUUCAGUGCUUUGCUGAGUUCUCUGUGCAUAAUGUGCCUUUUUCCUAAUUGAAUGCUCCCGAAUUGAGUGCGAACUGAGUGCUACUGUGAAUGCCUGGACAACGUACCAUGACAAGCACGUGCCAGUCUUGUGAUGAGCCCCUCCCCUGUGAUGGGCGUG